GUGAGGAAUAUUGGACAAUGGAUGGAAAUCUGAUCCAGCCAUGCCGCGUGCAGGAAGACGGCCCUAUGGGUUGUAAACUGCUUUUAUACGGGAGCAAUAAGGUCUAUGCAUAGAUUGAUGAGAGUACCGUAUGAAUAAGCAUCGGCUAACUCCGUGCCAGCAGCCGCGGUAAUACGGAGGAUGCGAGCGUUAUCCGGAUUUAUUGGGUUUAAAGGGUGCGUAGGCGGCUUUGUAAGUCAGCGGUGAAAUUUUGCAGCUUAACUGUAAAAGCGCCGUUGAUACUGUGAAGCUAGGAUUUGGUUGCUGUGGGCGGAACGUGUGGUGUAGCGGUGAAAUGCAUAGAGAUCACACAGAAUAUCGAUUGCGAAGGCAGCUCACAAAGCCAAUAUUGACGCUGAGGCACGAAAGUGUGGGGAUCAAACAGGAUUAGAAACCCUUGUAGUCC
rnacentral:rRNA from 1 species